rnacentral:piRNA from 1 species
UCUCCAUGAUGUAUGCCUUAGAAUUUGCUC